rnacentral:rRNA from 1 species
AUUGAACGCUGGCGGCAGGCUUAACACAUGCAAGUCGAGCGGAGAUGAGGUGCUUGCACCUUAUCUUAGCGGCGGACGGGUGAGUAAUGCUUAGGAAUCUGCCUAUUAGUGGGGGACAACAUUCCGAAAGGAAUGCUAAUACCGCAUACGUCCUACGGGAGAAAGCAGGGGAUCUUCGGACCUUGCGCUAAUAGAUGAGCCUAAGUCGGAUUAGCUAGUUGGUGGGGUAAAGGCCUACCAAGGCGACGAUCUGUAGCGGGUCUGAGAGGAUGAUCCGCCACGCUGGGACUGGGACACGGCCCAGACUGCUACGGGAAGCAGCCGUGGGGAAUAUUGGACAAUGGGAGGCAGCCUGAUCCAGCCAUGCCGCGUGUGUGAAGAAAGCCUUUUGGUUGUAAAGCACUUUAAGCGAGGAGGAGGCUACCUAGAUUAAUACUCUGGGAUAGUGGACGUUACUCGCAGAAUAAGCACCGGCUAACUCUGUGACAGCCGCCGCAGUAAAAC